UCCUCCCUCUGUCGGCGUGCUUAACACAUGCAAGUCGAACGGAAAGGCCCUGCUUUUGUGGGGUGCUCGAGUGGCGAACGGGUGAGUAACACGUGAGUAACCUGCCCUUGACUUUGGGAUAACUUCAGGAAACUGGGGCUAAUACCGGAUAGGAGCUCCUGCUGCAUGGUGGGGGUUGGAAAGUUUCGGCGGUUGGGGAUGGACUCGCGGCUUAUCAGCUUGUUGGUGGGGUAGUGGCUUACCAAGGCUUUGACGGGUAGACGGCCUGAGAGGGUGACCGGCCACAUUGGGACUGAGAUACGGCCCAGACUCCUACGGGAGGCAGCAGUGGGGAAUAUUGCACAAUGGGCGGAAGCCUGAUGCAGCAACGCCGCGUGCGGGAUGACGGCCUUCGGGUUGUAAACCGCUUUCGCCUGUGACGAAGCGUGAGUGACGGUAAUGGGUAAAGAAGCACCGGCUAACUACGUG
rnacentral:rRNA from 1 species